rnacentral:rRNA from 1 species
CCAGCUCCAAUAGCGUAUAUUAAAGUUGUUGCAGUUAAAAAGCUCGUAGUUGGAUCUAGGGACGCGCAUUUCAAGCGCCCGUGCCGUCGGGUCAAACCGGCGGCUGCGUUGGCGUUGCGGGCUCGGUCCGUCGGUGCCCCACAAAGGGCUAUCGGCGUGUCAACCGGCCCGCCCGUCCCCUCCUUCUGGAUUCCCGUUCCUGCUAUUGAGUUAGUGGGGACGUCACAGGGGGCUCAUCGUCGUCGUGCCAACGGCGGCGGUGGGUCCCUGGGGCCCAGAUCGUUUACCGUGAAAAAAUUAGAGUGUUCAAAGCAGGCAGAUCCAAUUUUCUGCCACCGAAUACAUUAGCAUGGGAUAAUGGAAUAGGACCCUGUCCUCCUAUUUUCAGUUGGUUUUGGCCGCGCGAGGACUAGGGUAAUGAUUAAUAGGGAUAGUUGGGGGCAUUAAUAUUUAAUUGUCAGAGGUGAAAUUCUUGGAUUUAUGAAAGAUUAACUUCUGCGAAAGCAUCUGCCAAGGAUGUUUUCAUUAAUCAAGAACGAAAGUUAGGGGAUCGAAGACGAUCAGAUACCGUCGUAGUCUUAACCAUAAACGAUGCCGACCAGCGAUUAGGAGACGUUGAAUACAAAACACCACCAUCGGUGCGGUCGUCCUUGGCGUCGGUCUUUCGGGGCCGGCGCGGGGACGGUUUAGCCCGGUGGCACCGGUGAAUGACUCCCCUAGCAGCUUGUGAGAAAUCAUAAGUCUUUGGGUUCCGGGGGGAGUAUGGUCGCAAGGCUGAAACUUAAAGGAAUUGACGGAAGGGCACCACCAGGAGUGGAGCCUGCGGCUUAAUUUGACUCAAC